rnacentral:rRNA from 1 species
GACGAACGCUGGCGGCGUGCUUAACACAUGCAAGUCGAACGGAAAGGCCCUGCUUUUGUGGGGUGCUCGAGUGGCGAACGGGUGAGUAACACGUGAGUAACCUGCCCUUGACUUUGGGAUAACUUCAGGAAACUCGGGCUAAUACCGGAUAGGAGCUCCUGCUGCAUGGUGGGGGUUGGAAAGUUUCGGCGGUUGGGGAUGGUCUCGCGGCUUAUCAGCUUGUUGGUGGGGUAGUGGCUUACCAAGGCUUUGACGGGUAGCCGGCCUUAGAGGGUGACCGGCGACAAGACGACUGAGAGACGGCCCAGACGCCUACGGGAGGCAGCAGUGGGGAAUAUGGCGGAAUGGGCGGAAGCCAGAUGAGGCAACGCCCCGUGCGGGAUGACGGCCUUCGGGUUGUAAACAGCUGUCGCCUGUGACGAAGCGUGCGUGACGGUAAUGGGUAAAGAAGCACCGGCUAACUACGUG